rnacentral:rRNA from 1 species
GGACUACUAGGGUUUCUAAUCCUGUUUGCUACCCACGCUUUCGCGCCUCAGCGUCAGUUGAUGCCCAGUGGACCGCCUUCGCCACGGGUAUUCCUCCCGAUAUCAACACAUUUCACCGUUACACCGGGAAUUCUAUCCACCUCUGCAUCACUCCAGCCCAUCAGUAUGCGAAAUAGUUUCCCGGUUGAGCCGGGAGAUUUAGCUUCACACUUAAUGGACCGCCUACGCGCUCUUUACGCCCAGUAAAUCCGGACAACGCUUGCACCCUACGUCUUACCGCGGCUGCUGGCAC